rnacentral:rRNA from 1 species
CACGUAGUUAGCCGUGACUUGCUGGUUAGAUACCGUCAUCGAAUGAACAGUUACUCUCACUCGUGUUCUUCUCUAACAACAGAGUUUUACGAUCCGAAGACCUUCUUCACUCACGCGGCGUUGCUCCAUCAGACUUGCGUCCAUUGUGGAAGAUUCCCUACUGCUGCCUCCCGUAGGAGUUUGGGCCGUGUCUCAGUCCCAAUGUGGCCGAUCAACCUCUCAGUUCGGCUACGUAUCAUCACCUUGGUAGGCCGUUACCCCACCAACUAGUUAAUACGCCGCGGGUCCAUCUAAAAGCGAUAGCAGAACCAUCUUUCAUCUAAGGAUCAUGCGAUCCUUAGAGAUAUACGGUAUUAGCACCUGUUUCCAAGUGUUAUCCCCUUCUUUUAGGCAGGUUACCCACGUGUUACUCACCCGUCCGCCACCCAACUUCUUACGGUGAAUGCAAGCAUUCGGUGUAAGAAAGUUUCGUUCGACUUGCAUGUAUUAGGCACGCCGCCAGCGUGU